UUGAGAUUAAUAAUGUCAAGAAUUGAAUGGUUUGUUUUAGCCUGAGCUAUGAGUCAUCGGAAUAUGCAUAGCUUCUUGCUAAAACAUGCCAAUCAAUCUUAAUUGACGAAGUUUUUGA
rnacentral:pre_miRNA from 15 species